UGGGGAAUAUUGGACAAUGGGCGAAAGCCUGAUCCAGCCAUGCCGCGUGUGUGAAGAAGGCCUUUUGGUUGUGAAGCACUUUAAGUGGGGAGGAAAAGCUUAUGGUUAAUACCCAUAAGCCCUGACGUUACCCACAGAAUAAGCACCGGCUAACUCUGUGCCAGCAGCCGCGGUAAUACAGAGGGUGCAAGCGUUAAUCGGAAUUACUGGGCGUAAAGCGCGCGUAGGUGGUUAUUUAAGUCAGAUGUGAAAGCCCCGGGCUUAACCUGGGAACUGCAUCUGAUACUGGAUAACUAGAGUAGGUGAGAGGGGAGUAGAAUUCCAGGUGUAGCGGUGAAAUGCGUAGAGAUCUGGAGGAAUACCGAUGGCGAAGGCAGCUCCCUGGCAUCAUACUGACACUGAGGUGCGAAAGCGUGGGUAGCAAACAGGAUUAGAUACCCUGGUAGUCCACGCCGUAAACGAUGUCUACCAGUCGUUGGGUCUUUUAAAGACUUAGUGACGCAGUUAACGCAAUAAGUAGACCGCCUGGGGAGUACGGCCGCAAGGUUA
rnacentral:rRNA from 1 species